AACGAACGCUGGCGGCAUGCCUAACACAUGCAAGUCGAACGAGACCUUCGGGUCUAGUGGCGCACGGGUGCGUAACGCGUGAGAACCUGCCCUUAGGUUCGGAAUAACUCCCCGAAAGGGGUGCUAAUACCGGAUAAUGUCUUCGGACCAAAGAUUUAUCGCCUUUGGAUGGGCCCGCGUUGGAUUAGCUAGUUGGUAGGGUAAAAGCCUACCAAGGCGACGAUCCAUAGCUGGUCUGAGAGGAUGAUCAGCCACACUGGGACUGAGACACGGCCCAGACUCCUACGGGAGGCAGCAGUGGGGAAUAUUGGACAAUGGGCGAAAGCCUGAUCCAGCAAUGCCGCGUGAGUGAUGAAGGCCUUAGGGUUGUAAAGCUCUUUUACCCGGGAUGAUAAUGACAGUACCGGGAGAAUAAGCUCCAGCUAACUCCGUG
rnacentral:rRNA from 1 species